CUCGCCUGGUCCUGGGUAGUGCACCUGUUGCCCUCCAGGUUGCCCGUCAGGUUCCGAGGCCCACCGGGGACAACCCCAUUGCCCUGGGAAGCUCUCUCUGGAGUCGUCACGGUGAGGGAGGUGGGCCUGCUCCCUGGUGGGGCGGUUGCCAUCUCGUCGUGGUUGCACUGUCUUCGCUGGGGUUGUACGCGGGUGUGGUAGCCAUCGAUUCUGGCGACGCGACCAUGCGAAGAGGGACUGUCAUACUUUCCAAACGGACCUCCUUGUGAGGCACCUGGACAAGUCUGAAGCCACAAUCCUGAUGAAGCUCGUGGUAAAAACGCCUAUGUGGGUGAGAACCUAAGCCCAAGUGAGCUCCCAACUGGCACCUGCUACAGCUGGAUGAGUGAGGCCACUUUGGACUUCCCGGCCAUCUCAAAACCCAAGCCAACACCGUGGGAAGCAGAAGAACCUUCCAGUCAGUCAACAGAAUUGUAAGAAAAUAACAUAUUCCACAUGUGGAAGAAGCAUUGUAUACAAAGGACAUCAAGCAACUUACACUGUUCAGCAACUUGCUUUGGUUCAUUUGAUAGCAAAUCUCAUGCAACUUUUUAUGGCUGUAUAGCUCCUGCCUCAAUUAAAAAAAAAAAAAUUGCUGGGAAGUUCUCUGAUUGCCUAGUGGGUUGAGGCUCCUGCUUUCUCACGCUGUGGUUGUGGUUGCUUCUGUGCGGAGUAGGUUCAAUCCCUGGCCCAGGAAUUCCCACAUACUGCCUGUGUGGCAAAAA